GCACCGAUAGUUUAGGGGUAGAAUUGAAGCUUCCCACGCAUUCAUUCAAUGUCUGCUUCAGGCGCGGGUUCGAGUCCCGCUCGGUGCA